rnacentral:rRNA from 1 species
GACGAACGCUGGCGGCGUGCUUAACACAUGCAAGUCGAACGGAAAGGCCCUGCUUUUGUGGGGUGCUCGAGUGGCGAACGGGUGAGUAACACGUGAGUAACCUGCCCUUGACUUUGGGAUAACUUCAGGAAACUGGGGCUAAUACCGGAUAGGAGCUCCUGCUGCAUGGUGGGGGUUGGAAAGUUUCGGCGGUUGGGGAUGGACUCGCGGCUUAUCAGCUUGUUGGUGGGGUAGUGGCUUACCAAGGCUUUGACGGGUAGCCGGCCUGAGAGGGUGACCGGCCACAUUGGGACUGAGAUACGGCCCAGACUCCUACGGGAGGCAGCAGUGGGGAAUAUUGCACAAUGGGCGGAAGCCUGAUGCAGCAACGCCGCGCGCGGGAUGAAGGCCUUCGGGUUGUAAACCGCUUUCGCCUGUGACGAAGCGUGAGUGACGGUAAUGGGUAAAGAAGCACCGGCUAACUACGU